rnacentral:tRNA from 1 species
UGUCUAGGGAUGGGAAUCGAACCCACUGUGUUCCGCUUACCGGGCAGAUGCCAUGUCCACUAGGCUACCCUGGAC